GACGAACGCUGGCGGCGUGCUUAACACAUGCAAGUCGAACGAAGUGGCGAACGGGUGAGUAACGCGUAAUCAACCUGCCCUUCAGAGGGGGACAACAGUUGGAAACGACUGCUAAUACCGCAUACUUAUGGAGGGGAUUGCGUAUGAUUAGCUAGUUGGAGGGGUAACGGCCAACCAAGGCGAUGAUCAGGAGCCGGUCUGAGAGGAAGAACGGACACAUUGGGACUGAGACACGGCCCAGACUCCUACGGGAGGCAGCAGUAGGGAAUCUUCCGAAAUGGACGAGAGUCUGACGGAGCAACGGCGCGUGAGUGAUGACGGCCUUCAGGUUGUAAAGCUCUGUUAAUCGGGACGCGGUACCGGAAUAGAAAGCCACGGCUAACUACGUGCCAGCAGCCGCGGUAAUUC
rnacentral:rRNA from 1 species